ACUCCUACGGGAGGCAGCAGUGGGGAAUAUUGCACAAUGGGCGCAAGCCUGAUGCAGCAUGCGCCGUGUGUGAGAAGGACCAGUUCCGGUUGUGAAUGCAACUUUCAGUCGUGAGGAAGGUAGUGUAGUUAAUAGCUGCAUUAUUUGACGUUAGCGACAGAAGAAGCACCGGCUAACUCCGUGCCAGCAGCCGCGGUAAUACGGAGGGUGCGAGCGUUAAUCGGAAUUACUGGGCGUAAAGCGCAUGCAGGUGGUUUGUUAAGUCAGAUGUGAAAGCCCGGGGCUCAACCUCGGAAUUGCAUUUGAAACUGGCAGACUAGAGUACUGUAGAGGGGGGUAGAAUUCAGGUGUAGCGGUGAAAUGCGUAGAGAUCUGAAGGAAUACCGGUGGCGAAGGCGGCCCCCUGGACAGAUACUGACACUCAGAUGCGAAAGCGUGGGAGCAAACAGGAUUAGAUACCCUGAUAGGCUCUGCU
rnacentral:rRNA from 1 species